GGCCUACCAUGGUGGUAACGGGUAACGGGGUGUUAGGGCACGACACCGGAGAGGGAGCCUGAGAAACGGCUACCACAUCCAAGGAUGGCAGCAGGCGCGCAAAUUACCCAAUCCCGACACGGGGAGGUAGUGACAAUAAAUAACAAUACGGGGUUCUUUCGGAUUUCGUAAUUGGAAUGAGUACAAUUUAAAUCUCUUAACGAGGAACAAUUGGAGGGCAAGUCUGGUGCCAGCAGCCGCGGUAAUUCCAGCUCCAAUAGCGUAUAUUAAAGUUGUUGCAGUUAAAAAGCUCGUAGUUGAAUUUCGGGGUUAGUAGGUUGGUCAUGCCUCUGGUAUGUACUGGUCUCACUGAUUCCUCCUUCCUGAUGAGCCGUAAUGCCAUUAAUUUGGUGUUGCGAGGAAUCUGGACUGUUACUUUGAAAAAAUUAGAGUGUUUAAAGCAAGCUAACGCUUGAAUACAUUAGCAUGGAAUAAUGAAAUAGGACGUUCGAUCCUAUUUUGUUGGUUUCUAGGAUUGACGUAAUGAUUAAUAGGGAUAGUUGGGGGCAUUAGUAUUCAAUUGUCAGAGGUGAAAUUCUUGGAUUUAUUGAAGACUAACUACUGCGAAAGCAUUUGCCAAGGAUGUUUUCAUUAAUCAAGAACGAAAGUUAGGGGAUCGAAGACGAUCAGAUACCGUCGUAGUCUUAACCAUAAACUAUGCCGACUAGGGAUCGGAUGAUGUUAAUUUUUUAAUGACUCAUUCGGCGCCUUACG
rnacentral:rRNA from 1 species